rnacentral:rRNA from 1 species
GUGGGGAAUAUUGGACAAUGGGGGGAACCCUGAUCCAGCCAUGCCGCGUGUGUGAAGAAGGCCUUCGGGUUGUAAAGCACUUUUGGCAGGAAAGAAAUAGCGCGUGCUAAUACCAUGCGCGAAUGACGGUACCUGCAGAAUAAGCACCGGCUAACUACGUGCCAGCAGCCGCGGUAAGACGUAGGGUGCAAGCGUUAAUCGGAAUUACUGGGCGUAAAGCGUGCGCAGGCGGUUUUGUAAGACAGGUGUGAAAUCCCCGGGCUCAACCUGGGAACUGCACUUGUGACUGCAAGGCUAGAGUGUGUCAGAGGGAGGUGGAAUUCCGCGUGUAGCAGUGAAAUGCGUAGAGAUGCGGAGGAACACCGAUGGCGAAGGCAGCCUCCUGGGAUAACACUGACGCUCAGGCACGAAAGCGUGGGGAGCAAACAGGAUUAGAUACCCUUGUAGUCC